UUCCGGUUGAUCCCGCCGGACCCCACUGCUAUCGAGGUGGGACUAAGCCAUGCUAGUUGAGCGCACAGAACUAUGUCUGUGAGCGGCACACUGCUCAGUAACACGUAGCUAACCUACCCUUAGGACGUGGACAACCCCGAGAAAUUGGGGCUAAUCCACGAUAGAUGUAAUGUCCUGGAAUGGUAUUACGUCCAAAGGUAUCCCAUACAUGUUUGGUAUACGCCUAAGGAUGGGGCUGCGGCCGAUCAGGCAGUUGGUGAGGUAAUGGCUCACCAAACCUUUGACCGGUACGGGCCAUGAGAGUGGUAGCCCGGAGAUGGACACUGAGACAAGGGUCCAGGCCCUACGGGGCGCAGCAGGCGCGAAACCUCCUCAAUGCACUUACGUGCGAAGGGGCUACCUCGAGUGCCACCUGAUGAAGGUGGCUUUUCCUAGGUCUAAAAAGCCUUGGGAAUAAGAGGGGGGCAAGACUGGUGUCAGCCGCCGCGGUAACACCAGCCCCUCGAGUGGUGGGGAUGAUUAUUGGGCCUAAAGCGUCCGUAGCCUGCCGUAUAAGUUUCCCGUUAAAUCCAGCGUCUUAAGCGUUGGACCGCGGGAAAUACUGUACGGCUAGAGAGUGGGAGAGGUUAGCGGUAUUCUGGGGGUAGGGGCGAAAUCCUUUGAUCCCCGGAGGACCACCAGUGGCGAAGGCUGCUGACUAGAACACGUCUGACGGU
rnacentral:rRNA from 1 species